rnacentral:lncRNA from 1 species
AAAAUCAGAAAAUCUAAAUUACGUGGACCAUCAAAUCUCCCUCAUUAAUUGAGGUGGCAAAUCAGAUGGUCCAAAGGGCGCUAUCCACCAUGGACCUUAGUCAGCGCAUGGCAAAUGUGGUAAUCAAAAGCAACGUUCAGGAUUAAAACGUGAGGGACAGAUCAUGUGGUUCAAAGCCUUGUCAAGUCAUCGCCGGAGCUAGAGCUCCGGUCAUCUUCUCCGGUGAAUCUCACUAGACUGGUCAACAUGAA